ACCUGGCUGACUUAGUUGGUAGAGCAUGUGACUCGUGAUCUCAGGGUUGUGAGUUUGAGUCCUAUGUUGGGUA
rnacentral:tRNA from 1 species